UUUAUGGAGAGUUUGAUCCUGGCUCAGGAUGAACGCUGGCGGCGUGCCUAAUACAUGCAAGUCGAGCGAACAGACGAGGA
rnacentral:rRNA from 1 species